GAUGAACGCUAGCUACAGGCUUAACACAUGCAAGUCGAGGGGAAACGAUGAGAGAGCUUGCUCUCUUAGGCGUCGACCGGCGCACGGGUGAGUAACGCGUAUCCAACCUGCCCAUUACAGGGGAAUAACCUUGCGAAAGUAAGACUAAUGCCCCAUGGUAUUCUCAGCAGACAUCUAAUGAGGAUUAAAGAUUUAUCGGUAAUGGAUGGGGAUGCGUCUGAUUAGCUUGUUGGCGGGGUAACGGCCCACCAAGGCAACGAUCAGUAGGGGUUCUGAGAGGGAGGUCCCCCACAUUGGAACUGAGACACGGUCCAAACUCCUACGGGAGGCAGCAGUGAGGAAUAUUGGUCAAUGGACGAGAGUCUGAAACCAGCCAAAGUAGCGUGCAGGAAGACGGCCCCUAUGGGUUGUAAAACU
rnacentral:rRNA from 1 species